rnacentral:rRNA from 1 species
AAUCAACGCUGGCGGCGUGCCUCAGACAUGCAAGUCGAACGAUUAAAGCUCUCUUCGGAGAGUGUAUAGAGUGGCGCACGGGUGAGUAACACGUAAGUAAUCUACCCUCGAGUGGGGAAUAACGUCCGGAAACGGACGCUAAUACCGCAUAAUGCAGCGGCACCGCAAGGUGACAGUUGUUAAAGAUUUAUCGCUUGAGGAGGAGCUUGCGGCAGAUUAGCAGUUGGUAAGGUAAUGGCUUACCAAGGCUACGAUCUGUAACCGGUCUUAGAGGACGGUCGGUCACACUGACACUGAAUAACGGGUCAGACUCUACGGGAGGCAGCAGUCGGGAAUUUUGGGCAAU